rnacentral:rRNA from 1 species
AACAACGUACCCCGGCGCGGUCCGCGCCAAGGAACAUGAACGAAAGAGUGCCUCCGGUCGCCUCGGAAACGUUGCGCGCACCGGAGGCGAAUCUUGUCUAGAACCAUAACGACUCUCGGCAACGGAUAUCUCGGCUCUCGCAUCGAUGAAGAACGUAGCGAAAUGCGAUACUUGGUGUGAAUUGCAGAAUCCCGCGAAUCAUCGAGUCUUUGAACGCAAGUUGCGCCCGAAGCCACCUGGCCGAGGGCACGUCUGCCUGGGUGUCACGCAUCGUUGCCCCCAACCCCAUCGCCCUGCAAAGAGGCGGUGGGGGCAUGCGGGGCGGACAUUGGCCUCCCGUGGGCUGAUGCCUGCGGCUGGCCUAAAAACGAGUCCUCGGCGACGAUCGCCACGACAAUCGGUGGUUGACAAACCUUCGUGACCCGUCGUGCGCGCAUCGCCGCUCAACGCGUGCUCUUUUGACCCUGUCGCGUCGCGCUCGCGACGCUUCCAACGCGACCCCAGGUCAGGCGGGACUACCCGCUGAGCGC